UGCGCCUUGCCACGCCCGCUCAGAAACUUAAAUGAAUUGACGGGGCCCGCACAAGCGGUGGAGCAUGUGGUUUAAUUUCGACGCAACGCGCAGAACCUUACCUGGGCUUGACAUCCCGAUCGCACCUUUUGGAAACUUAAGGGUCAGUUCGGCUGGAUCGGUGACAGGUGCUGCAUGGCUGUCGUCAGCUCGUGUUGUGAGAUGUUGGGUUAAGUCCCGCAACGAGCGCAACCCUCGUCCUUAGUUGCCAGCAUUAAGUUGGGCACUCUAAGGAGACUGCCGGUGUUAAACCGGAGGAAGGUGGGGAUGACGUCAAGUCCUCAUGGCCCUUAUGUCCAGGGCUACACACGUGCUACAAUGGCCGGUACAAAGGGCUGCAAUACCGCAAGGUGGAGCGAACCCCAAAAAGCCGGUCUCAGUUCGGAUUGGAGUCUGCAACUCGACUCCAUGAAGUUGGAAUCGCUAGUAAUCGCGGAUCAGCAUGCCGCGGUGAAUACGUUCCCGGGCCUU
rnacentral:rRNA from 1 species